rnacentral:lncRNA from 1 species
AUCUCUGUGUCUUAAAGAGGUCGGCCUGCUAGUUCUGAGUAUGAGUGAGGUUGAAAAUAUGGGAGGUCUGACCUGUAUUCUACGACGGAUGGUCCUUCCGCAAAGUGAUAAGACUGAAUGCGCUGGUGUGGACCCUUCCUCCAUUCAUACUCUGUCUAUCACUCAUGUACUGUCUAUCAGUGUUAUUGCAUGUGUAAUUAUGAUCGUAGCGAGAAUCUGUUUAUCUUAAAGAGAUUAAUCUGCUUGCUUUGAGCAUAAAUGAGGUUGGAGAUAUGGAAAUAUGGGAGAUCUGACUUACAUUCUAUGAUGGAUGAUCAUUCCACAAAGUGAUCAGACUGGACACACUAAUGUGGACCCUUUCUCCAUCCAUACCAUAUUCACCACUCAUAGAUUAACCUGCUUGCUUUGAGCAUAAAUGAGGUUGGAGAUAUGGAAAUAUGGGAGAUCUGACCUACAUUCUAUGAUGGACGGUCAUUCCGCAAAGUGAUUAGACUGGACACACUAAUGUGGACUCUUUCUCCAUCCAUACCAUAUUCAUCACUCAUAUUUUGUCUGUCAGUCAUACUGCAUACACAAUUA